GUGAUUACUUAGACAGCACAUACUAAAAUUAUAACAAUACAGAGAAGAUAAGCAUGGCUCUUUUGCAAGAAUGACAUGAAAAAUUGUGAAGCAUUCCAUAUUUUU